UACAGAGGGUGCGAGCGUUAAUCGGAAUUACUGGGCGUAAAGCGUGCGUAGACGGUAGCGUAAGUCAGAUGUGAAAGCCCCCGGCUCAACCGGGGAAGGUGGUGCCGAACUGGGCUUCUUGAGGGCGAUAGAGGAAGGUGGAAUUCCGGGUGUAGCGGUGAAAUGCGCAGAUAUCGGGAGGAACACCGGUGGCGAAGGCGGUUCUCUGGGCCUGUUCUGACGCUGAGGAGCGAAAGCGUGGGGAGCGAACAGG
rnacentral:rRNA from 1 species